rnacentral:rRNA from 1 species
UACGUAGGGUGCAAGCGUUAAUCGGAAUUACUGGGCGUAAAGCGUGCGUAGACGGUUAUUUAAGUCAGGUGUGAAAGCCCCGGGCUCAACCUGGGAAUUGCAUUUGAGACUGAAUAGCUAGGGUGCGGAAGAGGGAAGCGGAAUUUCCGGUGUAGCGGUGAAAUGCGUAGAUAUUCGGAAGAACACCAGUGGCGAAGGCGACUUACUGGACAACUGUUGACGCUGAGGUGCGAAAGCGUGGGGAGCA